AUGCCAGCGCCAGCGGCCGUGCCCGUGCACACCCCUCCACCCACCGUGGCGCCGGUCGCCGUGCAUUUGGCUGCGCCCGCCGCGCCCGUGCGCGCCCCUCCACCCACAACAGUGUCGGUCCUCGUGUGUUUGGCUGCACCCGCCGCACCUGUGCCCGUGCCCAUGCGCGCGCCCCCUCAGCGGCAUGGGACGCCACCGUCGACCACUGCCGGACGUGUAGUCAGACUAGUUGUCGCCAAACACAUCACACUGGCUUUUACUAUGAAUGUUGAUGCUGCGUUAUCUCGCAAUGGUGAAAGGGGAGCCCUGGCAGUUGUGAGCCGAGAUCAUACAGGCUUCUUCCUUGGAGCAUCGGCACUGGUGUGCGGAAGUGUUACUGAUCCAGAGAUCCUAGAGGCAAUGGCAUGUUGCGAGGGGCUAUCUCUGGCUCUUGACUUAAACCCGCAACAAGUUCAGAUUAGCACCGAUUGUUCAGCAACAGUCAAGCAUAUCGGAGAGGCAUACUUGGGGCCCAGCAAAGUUAUUAUGGACGAGAUCAAGAUGAAGAAGAAUAUGUUCCAAACCAUGGAGAUCAUACAUGAAAAACGUGAGUGUAAUGUUGAAGCGCAUGUGCUCGCAAAAGCUGCUACUUCUUUGCCCUGCAGAUGCCAUCUUUGGCUCACAGGAACCCCCAAAAUUAUUUGUAUACCUAUGACUGUUAAUCUUCAAUAA
rnacentral:rRNA from 1 species